AUCUAAUAAACUGGAACAAAAGCAGCUUUAUUUUCAGCCUCAAGGUCAGAACCGACCCGUUUGAACAGCUGUCAAGGUCAGAACCGACCCGUUUGAACAGCUGUCAUCAACUCUGACACGUGACUGAGCCUCCCGGGCCACCGUCCUUAUCUCACAGACACACGUGAGUCUCUGAGGACGGACACAGACCGCUUUGCUUCAAGGGACAGGGUAACCAUUAUCAACAAGCAGAUGACAGACCUGACCGGUACCGGGCCUGGUACACAGACACACUCAGGUCCAAUCUGAUGGAGGUCUGGUGGAGGUCUGAUGGAGGUCUGAUGGAGGUCUGAUGGAGGUCUGUAGUACGUAGGUCUGACGUAGGUCAGAUGGAGGUCUGCAGUAUUUAGGUCUGAUGGAGGUCUGAUGGAGGUCUGCAGUACGUUGGUGUGACGUAGGUCUGACGUAGAUCUGUAGUACGUAGGUCUGACGUAGGUCUGACGUAGGUCUGAUGGAGAUCUGUAGUACAUAAGUCUUAAGUA